AUCCAGCUGACCAGUCCCAUAUAGGACGAAAUGCGCGUCCUGGAU
rnacentral:hammerhead_ribozyme from 1 species